AUCGCUUCUCGGCCUUUUGGCUCAGAUCAAGUGUAGUAUCUGUUCUUAUCAGUUUAAUAUCUGAUACGUCCCCCAUCGGGGGACUACAUAUUAAAUGGAUUUUUCGAACAGGGAGUCGGAAAUGGGGCUUGCUCCGUCCGGCUCCACGCAUCGACCGGUAUUGCAGUACCUCCGGGAAUGGUGCAACACUU
rnacentral:snRNA from 1 species